rnacentral:rRNA from 1 species
UACGGAGGGUGCGAGCGUUGUCCGGAAUCAUUGGGCGUAAAGGGCGCGUAGGUGGCCCGGUCAGUCUUUGGUGAAAGCGCGGGGCUCAACCCUGCGUCGGCCAGGGAUACUGCCGCGGCUCGAGCACUGUAGAGGCAGGCGGAAUUCCGGGUGUAGCGGUGGAAUGCGUAGAGAUCCGGAAGAACACCGGUGGCGAAGGCGGCCUGCUGGGCAGUUUGGCUGACACUGAGGCGCGACAGCGUGGGGAGCGAACAGG